UGAGGAAUCUUGCGCAAUGGGGGAAACCCUGACGCAGCAACGCCGCGUGAGUGAGGAAGGUUUUCGGAUCGUAAAGCUCUGUCGGGUGGAAAGAAAUGUAUGAGUGUUAAUAGCGCUCAUACUUGACGGUACCACCAAAGGAAGCACCGGCUAACUCCGUGCCAGCAGCCGCGGUAAUACGGAGGGUGCAAGCGUUGUUCGGAAUCAUUGGGCGUAAAGAGCGUGUAGGCGGCCUGAUAAGUCAGAUGUGAAAGCCCUGGGCUCAACCCAGGAAGUGCAUUUGAAACUGUGAGGCUUGAGUAGGGGAGAGGGAAGUGGAAUUCCUGGUGUAGAGGUGAAAUUCGUAGAUAUCAGGAGGAACACCGGUGGCGAAGGCGACUUCCUGGCCCUAUACUGACGCUGAGACGCGAGAGCGUGGGUAGCAAAUA
rnacentral:rRNA from 1 species